CACAGAGUAUGAACAGGGGAGGGGCAGAGAGAGAGGGAGACGCAGAAUCCCAAGCAGGCUCCAGGCUCUGAGCUGUCAGCACAGAGCCCGACGCGGGGCUCGAACUCACGGACUGCGAGAUCAUGACCUGAGGCAAAGUGGGACGCUUAACCGACUGAGCCACCCAGGCGCCCCCAGGCACCAGCUACUCUUAAUGUAUAGGACUGAAGGUCUCUGGAUUCCCUGGCAACCUAGGAAAUCGAACUCCCUGGCCUUGGGUCACUUAGCCUUGUCCUCGGAGACGAUGCCGGCCAAAACCGUGAAGGAGGGAAUUCUGGCAAGGGAAUCUGCUGGAACUCCUAGAUCUUGCCCAAAACCUCCUUGAUGGAAGACCGAUGUUGUGAGAGGUGACGCUGUCGAAAGCAAACUUGGAUGGCUCAGCCAGGAAGGGCUUGUCCGAGGAAGGAAAAGUAGAAAUCUGAAGCAUGAGUAAGAAUUGGUGAGGUGAGGAAGGUGACGAAUUCACCUAGGCAUAUGUACCGUAUCCAUUUACCUUUCUCCCCCCCGAAACAACAGUGAAAUGGCAGUGAAGAGAAGAAAAUGGCAUGUUCCACAAGAACAAAAAGGAUGAGGCAUCGCAACCAAGUGCCAGAAGGUGGAAGGAAGGUGGUGCGUAUUAACUGGCUGAGAAGACUCGAGAAAGCUAAAUUCACCCAGUGUGGACAGCACGAUCCAGAAACUAACUGAUGGAUGCUACAGAAGUCCAGAAAGAUUCUGAGAUUACAGGCUCAAAGUACUAAUUAAGGCAUAGGUACAGGCAGGACUGAAAAGGAAAGGAUAUGUAAUGGCUGUAUAGAGAGCUAGGUCCCCUCCAUACUCCAUGAAGCCGGGACCCCUAGGACACAGGAGGUAUACUCUGGCGAGGUUGAACCAGAACUUUCUCUCACAGUGACUCUCAACCUUGACUGCACAUUAGAAUCAUCUGGGGAGCUUUAGAAAAAUCCUAAUACCCAGGCUUCCCUGCGAAGAAAUGAAAUCAGCAUAUCUGAAGAUAACACCUUGUGAAUUAUGAGUUUUAAAGCUCCCUACGUGAUUAUGCUGUGAAUAUAUGGCUGGAAAGUCACCGUUGAUGUACCAGGCAGAACUACUAAAAUCUAAGGGAAAAUGUGCCCAAUCGGCCCACCCCCACCCCUAAAUGUAGAGCUAUCGGCCAACAUUUGAGUGCCUGUAUCGUGUAUAUAUAAACAUCAGCCAAGAUUUCCUAGCAUUUGAGGGAAGCCUCAAGCAUAAAAGACACAGACCAAAACAAAUGGUUACAAAGUGGGGAACAUAGGAAGACUUUUUAAACAUCCUCAGCAGCAUAUGAGAAGAUUGGCUUCCAUACA
rnacentral:lncRNA from 1 species